GCGCGGUGUGGUGGCGCGCGCCUGUAAUCCAAGUGUCAUGGAGGCUGAGGCUGGAGGAUGGUUGGAGCUCAGGAGCUCUGAGCUGCAGUGGACUAUGCUGAUCGGGGUCCGCACUCACUUCCGUAUCGAUAUUGUCUUUCUGGGGGAGCCCGGGACAACCAGGUCCGUCUAAGGACGGGUGAAGUCGGCCCGUUCGUGUUUUCCAGUCGAAAACUGGACAGAGUAAAGAGCCCAGUGUGCCGCUCAACUGUGGGAUCGCCCCUGAAGAGUAGACGCUGCAGCGACCGGCCUGAGUAACACACAGAGACCCAGUCUUUU
rnacentral:SRP_RNA from 1 species